rnacentral:rRNA from 1 species
UACGGAGGGUGCGAGCGUUGUCCGGAAUCACUGGGCGUAAAGGGCGCGUAGGCGGCAUGCCAAGCGUGUGGUGAAAGCCCGGGGCUCAACCCCGGGUCGGCCGUGCGGACUGGCGUGCUCGAGCACUGUAGGGGCGGGUGGAAUUCCGGGUGUAGCGGUGAAAUGCGUAGAUAUCGGAAGGAACGCCGGUGGCGAAAGCGAUCGACUGGACCUUUUCUGACGCUGAGGCGCGAAAGCCAGGGGAGCAAACGGG